CUUGCUAUGGUAUAACUUAGUGGCAGACGGGUGAGUAAUGUAUAGGAAUCUACCUAGUAGUACGGAAUAAUUGUUGGAAACGACAACUAAUACCGUAUACGCCCUACGGGGAAAAAUUUAUUGCUAUUAGAUGAGCCUAUAUUAGAUUAGCUAGUUGGUGGAGUAAUAGCCUACCAAGGCAAUGAUCUAUAGCUGAUCUGAGAGGAUGAUCAGCCACACUGGAACUGAGAUACGGUCCAGACUCCUACGGGAGGCAGCAGUGGGGAAUAUUGGACAAUGGGCGAAAGCCUGAUCCAGCCAUGCCGCAUGAGUGAAGAAGGCCUUUGGGUUGUAAAGCUCUUUUAGUGAGGAAGNNAAUGACGGUACUCACAGAAGAAGUCCUGGCUAACUCCGUGCCAGCAGCCGCGGUAAUACGGGGAGGGCUAGCGUUAUUCGGAAUUAUUGGGCGUAAAGGGCGCGUAGGCUGGUUAAUAAGUUAAAAGUGAAAUCCCGAGGCUUAACCUUGGAAUUGCUUUUAAAACUAUUAAUCUAGAGAUUGAAAGAGGAUAGAGGAAUUCCUGAUGUAGAGGUAAAAUUCGUAAAUAUUAGGAGGAACACCAGUGGCGAAGGCGUCUAUCUGGUUCAAAUCUGACGCUGAAGCGCGAAGGCGUGGGGAGCAAACAGGAUUAGAUACCCUGGUAGUCCACGCUGUAAACGAUGAAUGUUAAAUAUGGGAAGUUUACUUUCUGUAUUACAGCUAACGCGUUAAACAUUCCGCCUGGGGACUACGGUCGCAAGAUUAAAACUCAAAGGAAUUGACGGGG
rnacentral:rRNA from 1 species